AGCAAUUUGUAACCCCAUCAGAACACUGUGCUGGACAGAGAGAUUUGAACCUCUCUGCUGACCCCAAUGUCAUGUUAAUUUGUUUUCUUUUUCCCAACACUGGCACAAUGGGGGCAUGGAAGGAAAUGCGAUCAGGACCCCGAACUGUAGAGUAACUGGGAUGAAAGAACCGUAGUCUCUGUUGGAGGAAUAGCAUAGGAGGAAAUCCGGUCACGGGAAGAACUGAGGUUAGCUCCCCAGGCCUUAUCGUUCUUAUCCAUUCGUUCAUUUAUGUCAGAUAAAGAAAAUGGAAUUCGUGUCAGACCUUCUACCACACCCCCUCAACACCAUGGUUCGGUAACCCUCUCCUGUGAUUCCUGUAAUGACCAGAGAGGGGAUAAAUCUGAUGGCAACACGAAGAUCACAUGGACCCAAAAUGGCAUGCCGAUAUCCAACAAUCGUAUAGAUAUCCUGGAAUUAAGGAACGUCAUAACAAUAAAACGCUUUUCUAGCCGCUAUUAUGGUCUCUGGAGCUGUUCUGCCUGUCAGAAUGGCUACUGUUUGGAAGGCAAUUUAGAAAAUCCAAGAAUGGAGGAUGACACGCCAUCUGAGCCAAACCCUCAUCUGGAAGGGAAUACGGCUGACCCGCGUAUAAUUGGGGGCUGCGUGGCUGGACUCCUUGCUCUCAUCUUGGUGGGAGUUGUCGUAUUCCUCAUCUGCAGGAAUCGUCGCUCACACAGCAUCAGUGAGACUACGAAGGCGAAGGAAAUGCAAGAGAGCAAGGACCCAGAUGGUG
rnacentral:lncRNA from 1 species